GGAGUUGACUCGAGGUGCAACGGAGGGCGGACUGACCAGACUGAUAUAUCUUGUAGAAGAUAUUCACCUUAUUUUCCGCGACAACAAGGGUGGCGCCAUUACGUUCGUUUUGUCAUCUUACUUCCGGUUGAGGGACCUAAGAUAGUAGUCGCUAGCGGUAAUCCUAUAGCUGUAACGGUAGAUUAGUAUUAUAUGCUCAGUUAGGGGCUGUCAUAACAAUUAGAUUAAGAAGAGAGAACAGUUGAAACGGCAUCAACGAUGUUACGAAUACAAUGUGAAGCGAUCCGAGUGUUGUGGUGCACUUUACAAUUUACACCCACCACCUUAAGACGAGGAGCACCUGAGGCAAUAGCUGAAGGCGCUAAACUUGAAGUGACCACCCAAGCGCCCUUAUGUGUGUUCGUACCAUUUCAUGGACGGGAGGCUGACUGACAAACACCCUUUCCCCGAGAAAUGGCUCGGCAACGAUGUUCCGGUAAAUAAGUCACGGCGGAUGCUGAACAGGUUGUCAGAUUCAGAUGCAUCGAUGAGCGUCAGUGAUCAACUGUGAGGAUGAUCACAUCCACAUACCCUGAACUGUGAUGCAGAAACACACUGGGAGGAUCCAUCUGUCUCUGACCACAACUACACUUCAAAAUCACAUCUCAAUCUGAAGCCUCCUACAUCUAAUAUGAGAAUGAAAUGCGUUGAGCUGGCGCCAUUGUACUGUUGCUCAACUCUGCUGAGAAACAACCACCAUUCAUUCAGUCGGCGAGCACCUUACCAAUAUAUACACCAACAGUUUCCAGCUACACACUUGGGAUCAGCUCCUGAUGACUCUGAUGGAGCUGCGUCAUAAUUUAUUGCAGGGUGAUCAUUAGGGUGGUAUAAGGUGGUCAUAUCAGGAUGAUAAUUUAUCUAUAUCAGCACUGGAGUAAACAGUGAUGUCAUCAUCCAGCUAAGUUCAGUUCGCAUACAAUGUUGUCAAUGCAGACAGAUCAAAACACUGUUGAAUAUCAAAGGAAGGUGAAACUUGUCAUUCCAGCAUUCACCAAGAGACGCACGCAACUCUCUAAAGAAGACACCACCAACACCAGGCGCAUCGCUAAUGUACAUGGGUCAUAUGACUGAAAAUCUUCAAAAUCCUUUCUUACAACAGUUCAAAUUAACCUCACCCCUAAAAUUGAUCAUUUAGAGAAUUUGCCCAUUUUACCCUUCUGAGCAACAUAAUUUCUGAUGUAGAGGAUGAAUAAAUGUUGAUUUUAGGUAUGUUUGUCUGUGCUGUGGUUUUGCUUUAACUAAUCAGUGUAAAGUGUAUGUAGAUAUUUUUAAGAACCUUUACAAUAUGACCAAAUGUUGUCUAUCUUAAAAUUAUUUCUAUAAACCUUUACAAUAUGAUCAUAUGUGAUGGUUUUUUUUAAUCUUUACAAUGUGGCCAGAUUACUGGCCAGAUACUGUUAGCUGUCAGUAUCUUUUUAAUAAAACCAUAUAAUGUGAGCUCUUACAAUUUAAAGGGAUGAAGUAUUCUGAUUUAAAUAGAAUAAGUCAUGUCAAGUUUGCAAAUUAAUUCUAUCUUGGUUUAUUGCAUAUGAAAAUUAAAUGGUGAAACAUUAUCUCUACAUGAAGGUCAGUAAAAGGUGUCUAGCUUCCUGAUAACAACAAACACUCUUACGACUGAUUUUAUCACAACUUAUUGAAUUACACAUUUUCUAAAAUACAAAUCACAAAGUUAUCUUUAACAAAACUGAUUUAAAAUAAUUCCAGUCGUCUUCACCUACACCUUCUACAUGCUGCUCCAUCAACUCCUGACAGUCCCAUGGUUUACUCUGGCCACUUCUUCAUAUCGUCUACCAGUUACGGCCGUUAACAGUGACGAUAUGAGACUAUCUGAUCGUCGUAUAAAGUUUUCUCCGUGCUCCCAAUUUGAAACAUUUACUGCAUUAACGUUAUUUGUCAUUUCUCUAAAGUUAUAGCUCGCUAUAAACAAUCUUUUAAUUACUGAUCUAGCUACCGGAUGUGCCGAGUCAGUUUAGCGGAAGUCGGAUGACAAAAUGCGGAAGAGCGGAGAAU